CCUGGUAGUGGGCCGUUCGGGGCCACACAGAGUUUGUUACGGAGAGUAGUAGUGUCAGUGGGCCAUUCAGGGCCACGUGAAGUUUGUUAUGGAGAGUGGAGUGGUGUCUGUUGUUGCGACUUGCUAGAGGGUGGUGGGGCCAUGUGGAAUCUGUUACAGAGAGUGGAGUGGUGUCUGUUGUCGUAACUUAUCGAAGAGUUCGAGCUGGAUGGCUGAAGCUCGACUGGGACGUCUAGUGGAGUAGAAUGGCUCUCUGUCUCAGCAAUCUAAAAGAAGCUCGGAUAUUUUCAAGGUUGCUAAUGAGU
rnacentral:lncRNA from 1 species